ACCUUGACCAAGACAGAAUAGCACACUGAGUGAUACAUUAUAAUCGAAGCCAGCUUGUCUCUCCUGGAGGAACACCUCUCUUGUCCCGUGUGUUGUGACAUAUUCAGCAACCUUGCCGUCCUCAAAUGCAGCCACAGCUUCUGUGAGGAGUGUCUACAGAAAUACUGGAAGGAUAUGGACAAUCUGAUGUGUCCUGUAUGCAGGAAAGAGUGUUCAAUUGAGCAGCCGAGCUAAAGUUUGGCCUUAAAGAGUCUCUGUGAAUCGGUCCAGAGAGGGAGUGAAAAGGAGAAAGGAUCCCAGGAUAUGUUUUGAUGACAAGCAGCCCAUCUGUGUUGUCUGUCACAUAUCAAAGAAACAUAAAGGCCAUGACUGCUGUCCCACUGAGGAGGCUCUGCCUGAUUUUAAGAGUGAAAUCCAGCGUGUGAGUUCCACUUUGAAGAAGGAAUUAGAAAGCAUGAACACAGCCAGGAUGUGCCAUCCAACCUGGGAGGAGCAUAUACAGGGUCAAGCCCAGUGUGGAGAGGAGCAGAUAAGGGAGGAGUUUAAGAAACCACCAGUUCCUGGAAGAUGAAGAGACAGCCAGGACAGCUGCCCUGAGAAAGGAAGUGCAACAGAGAUGUCAAGUGAUGCGAGAAAGUGCUGAGCCUUUGACCAAGCAGAUUUCAACCCUAAUAGAGACUAUUCAGAUGAUCAAGGACAUGGAUGUUGACACUAUCACAUUCCUUCAGGUAAGGGUAAAGAUGUUUUAAAUUACAAAGAUGUAAAUUCUCAACAUGAGCUCAUGAACUCACUGCAAAAACUGAUCGUCCAAAAGACGCAAGCGUCACACUGCUAGGCUGCAGUCAAAUGUCGUAUAACGCCUUGAAAUUCUCAACCAGGUUGGAAAUUGCUGGUGAAUAAUUUCACAACUGUAAAUUAUUUAUUUCUCUGUGAGUUUUUCAAUUAUCUCAGUGUCAUCUGAUAUAACAUAGUGACAUAUGUCCUUUUUUUUGUAGAAUUACAAGGUCAUACUUAAUAGGUAUGUUGUAAAUUAAUUCCCAUUUCAUCCCUACUAAAUACAUGUUAUGCUCCAUUUACAACAGCACUGAUGUUAAUUAUUCCUAUAGAGCCGAAUCCACAGCAACAGACACUACAGAUGCUGAGGUAGUGUCAGGAGCAUUCAUUGACAUAGCCAAGCAUGUGGGAUCUCUGAUAUUCAAGGUCUGGAAGAAGAUGCUUGGGAUCAUUUACUAUACUUCGGUGACCAUGGAUCCAAAACACAGUGUCUGCAAGGCUCAUAAUGACUCAUGACCUGACCACUGUGACAUACAGUGAGGAGAGGCAGAACCUUCCAGAAAAUCCUGAGAGGCUUAAAAUGGGAGUGUUGGGUUCUGAAGGUCACGGUAAAGGCAGACACAUUUGGGAUGUAGAAGUAGGAGAAAGUGAUAACUGGACCCUGGGAGUAGCCAAAGAGUCAAUUGUGCGCAACAAGCCACUCAAAAUGGAGCCUCAGAGCAGAUUGUGGAGCAUCAGGUAUAUUAGUGGGAAAUACAGAGUAUGUGUAAAACCACGCAUCCAGAUCAAGCUGGAUGAGAGCCCACGAGUGAUCAGAGAACAUCUGGACUGUGUCCAAGGGGAGCUGACAUUCUGUGAUCCCACUAAGAGCACUAUUCUGUACACCUUCAAUGAUAAAUUCACUGAAAAAGUGUUCCCAUACUUUUACAGUACCAAUCAGUUUGUCCCACUGCACCUUUUGUCAGUUAGCCCCAACUUUGGGCAGAAUAUAUAAACAUGAGUGGAGACAGGUUGCCAUGUUUAUAAUAUGUGGGGACAAAUAUCUACUAACAUGUAUCAACUAGAGGGACCCCAUUGUGUGAACUUUAGUUGAAUCCAGCUCCAUGUAAAUAGCUGUAAAACUUGCCUCAACAUAAAGCAUACUAUGGGUAUAAGUAGUGUAAUCUAAUUGAUGCCAAUGGAAUGUGGUAAGGUAACAACUGUCUAUCUCAUAAUGCUUGUACAAGUGUUUAAAGCAGUUGUUAAAUUAUGUAAAAUAUGUA